rnacentral:misc_RNA from 1 species
AACGCACAUGGCGCCCGCCGGUAAUCCGGUGGGCAUGCCUGUCCGAGCGUCAUUUCAACCCUCAGAACCCCUUCGGGGCGUUACUGGUGUUGGGGAUCGAGAGCCCUAGGCUCCCGUCCCUUAAAUCUAUUGGCGGCUCCGGAGUCUGUCUCCCCUGCGUAGUAUUGCAUCUCGCUUUGGUGACUUCUUCGGGCUGCUGUGGCCCUGCCACGAAACCCCCACUAGGUUGACCUCGGAUCAGGUAGGGAUACCCGCUGAACUUAA